rnacentral:rRNA from 1 species
GACGAACGCUGGCGGCGUGCUUAACACAUGCAAGUCGAACGGAAAGGCCCUGCUUUUGUGGGGUGCUCGAGUGGCGAACGGGUGAGUAACACGUGAGUAACCUGCCCUUGACUUUGGGAUAACUUCAGGAAACUGGGGCUAAUACCGGAUAGGAGCUCCCGCUGCAUGGUGGGGGUUGGAAAGUUUCGGCGGUCGGGGAUGGACUCGCGGCUUAUCAGCUUGUUGGUGGGGUAGUGGCUUACCAAGGCUUUGACGGGUAGCCGGCCUGAGAGGGUGACCGGCCACAUUGGGACUGAGAUACGGCCCAGACUCCUACGGGAGGCAGCAGUGGGGAAUAUUGCACAAUGGGCGGAAGCCUGAUGCAGCAACGCCGCGUGCGGGAUGACGGCCUUCGGGUUGUAAACCGCUUUCGCCUGUGACGAAGCGUGAGUGACGGUAAUGGGUAAAGAAGCACCGGCUAACUACGUG